CCUACGGGAGGCAGCAGUGAGGAAUAUUGGUCAAUGGACGAGAGUCUGAACCAGCCAAGUAGCAUGAAGGAUGACUGCCCUAUGGGUUGUAAACUUCUUUUAUAUGGGAAUAAAACGUUCCACGUGUGGGAUUUUGUAUGUACCAUAUGAAUAAGGAUCGGCUAACUCCGUGCCAGCAGCCGCGGUAAUACGGAGGAUCCGAGCGUUAUCCGGAUUUAUUGGGUUUAAAGGGAGCGUAGGUGGAUUGUUAAGUAAGUUGUGAAAGUUUGCGGCUCAACCGUAGAAUUGCAGUUGAAACUGGCAGUCUUGAGUACAGUAGAGGUGGGCGGAAUUCGUGGUGUAGCGGUGAAAUGCUUAGAUAUCACGAAGAACUCCGAUUGCGAAGGCAGUUCACUGGACUGCAACUGACACUGAGGCUCGAAAGUGUGGGUAUCAAACAGGAUUAGAUACCCGUGUAGUG
rnacentral:rRNA from 1 species